ACCCUUUCCAGAGCUAGUGUCACCGGAAAAACCAGCCCUUUACCGGCAGUUUGUGCUCAAUGAUUACAUAACAAGGUUCUUCACAAAAGAUUUAGCAGACAAGACUUUGACAAAUUACUAUAGGAUUUAACUGAAGAAGAAAAUAAGAUUUAAAAAAAGUGGUAGUUUUGUGUUUAUGUUUCGUAAACAGACUGUACCACAAAGAUUAAUGGACUUCAUUAAGCUUUUCUUAUGCACGUAAUUUGAAUACCAAAUAG
rnacentral:misc_RNA from 1 species